rnacentral:lncRNA from 1 species
CUGCUAUGUAUACAUCAGACGGCAGAAUCGAAUAUAACAUUUCCAAGGUUUGACUUUGUUGUACCAGGAAAGAAGCUUAGAAACACAGGUCUAUUAUAGGACCGUCACUGUCCCAUAAAUCUUAGACCUUUAUUCUGUUUUCAUUCUCCCAGAAACUGCAGAUGAGUAUGGCACCAAGACAGACCACUGUCUACUGCAGCCUGUGCUGAGACAGUCACUCUCAUGAUAAAUGUAAUUACAAAUGGUGCAGAUAGAAAGAGCCUUGACAAGGAUUUUAUCCCAAUGAAAACCAAGAUUCAACUGAGAUGGAAGGGAAAACUCCUGAGCAGGUAACACUGAUAGAGUAAUACAAGACAGAAGACAGAGGGGAAAAACUAGCUAUGCAAGACUAGUG